rnacentral:lncRNA from 1 species
UUAUUAGCUAAUUGGCUGGGACAUAUCUCAUUUGUAACAGAUGAGGAGAGGAAGGCUGGGAAGCUGUGGUGGGUGGAAGAGAAGCUGGUAAUCUUCUCUUUAAAGUGGCAGAAGAAGUUGUCAGCCUGGUCUGCAGGAGGUAAAUGGGUGGGCUUUCUGUGCUGCUGCAUGGUGAUGUCUUAUCCGGGCAUACGUCCCCAAGAAGUGGAGGAUGUCACCUGUGAGCAAUCACAAAUUGUGCUCUCUUGCUUGUGGAUGAGGCUUUGGAGACCACCUGCUGUUGUGUUUCACGGGCUGAUGCUCCUAGGAGGACUGGAGGAAGACUGGAAAGCAGAAGAGCUGAGUCAUCCCCGGAGAAGACAUUUCCCACAGCAGCUGUUACGCCAUGCGAUCCUGCUAUCUCUUGCAGUCGUUGCUGGAGGAACUCCUGUGUCGCUCCAAGGGCUGAGUGAAGAUAACACGGUCCCAUCCCUCCAGCCGCAGCGCUACGGCAAAGAUAAACUCCCCGCUCGGAGCUCGCUGCAGAACAAGUGUCAGUAAAUCCUCUCUAUUUGGAAGCAUCCCCGUCUGUACUGAGACCUUACCUUUGAAAGGUGAUAAUGUGAAAAACGCCCUGCUACAUUUUGCAAUGAAGAUCUAUUUACAUACGUUAUCUGGGAGCCGUCCUGUCGUGUCUAACACUGUGACUUCUGGAUGACUUUUCUGUGCUUUUCUCUGGCGCUGAGUGCCAGCUUUAUGCCAAUAACCUUGGAUGACAGUUUAUGAGGUCUAAACUCAGUCCCUAUUCCUGUUAUAUAUUGCCUGUGAUUUAAAGCAAGUCACUUAAUUGUCUUGUUACUCAUCUGUAACAUAAUACUGCAUUUUUCCUCCCUGUCAUCUGCCUGCUUUCUGUGGAUCAGACAGUGGUCCAGGCAGGGCUAUCUCUGGUGCAGGUGUCUCAGCAGACUGUUUGAAACCAGUAAAGUACUUCAGCUGAUUAACUUCUGGAUUUGGAAUUAAAGAUAUUUCCGUUUCCCCUGGUUCCUUGCUAACUGGACUGUGAGCUUCUGCAAUCCCAACUUCUUGAUUUAGCUGAUUAUGUGUGAAUCUUGGCUCCUGGGGCUUUUGGGGAUUUUGUCUUGUCUUUUAAAGGUACAUCACGAGCACCAGUGCAAAAAGAGGCAGAGGGUGAUAUCCCCAGAUGGCUGGAAUCUAUUAUUUCUUCAAAUACAAAGCAGUUUGGGCUAAUCUCAUGGAUUUCCCCAGGCUCGAUUUAUCAGCCUUGUGAUGGAGAUGGACGCUUGCAGAACCUGGAGCCAGCAGAGAAGCUACUUCUCCUGUCUGCAGACCAGGUGAAAUUUAUAUAUAUCCAUUCAACAGACAGAGGAGGCAAAAAAGCCAUCAAUGAAGUGACCAACAGAAGCAAAGUUGUGCCAAAAGCACCAACCACUGAACCUGGGAGGAAGCGCCGGGGGAUACGCGCAGGGCAGGCGUGCAGCCCCCGGCACCGAGGGACUUGGAGCUCGGAGCUUCUUGGAGCUGACACCAUCAGUAUAAAAAC